ACGUUGGCAACAACGUUUCAAACUUAUUGUUUUGUUUACAUUGAGAUUUCGGUAUUUCGGUUUUGUGUACAAAUUUCCUGCACUAAUUUAUCAGCUAAAGAUUCAUUUUUCUGCACUUUUUUUAUUCUGUUUAAUAAUCGAAAGUUCGAGAAUGCCAAAAUUUAUACGUAGUCAUUCAAAAAAGCGAAAAUUUUACAGCGACUAAUACACUAAAUAUGUGACUGCUGAUGCUGGUAAUCACAAUGAAACUGAAACAUUUGUCUAUGAAAUUAUCUGGAACAUUUAUUGCAAAUGAAAAAAGUGAUUUUGAUGAAUUAAAAGGCAAUCAUAACGUUAAGACAAAUUGUGACUGCAGAUGAAGCUUGGUACUUGAAAUUGAGAUAAAAUAGCAGUCCUUUGCUUAAGCUUGAGAAGAUUCAUUGCAGUUGCAGAAUCCAGAUGAUCCAUAACAUUACAGGCUUUAUCAUAAAAUCCAGAUGUAAGAAAAAGAUGAUUCCAUUUCUUGCAUUUGAGAGUCUGCACUGCACUGCUGGCACAGAUAAUGACCCUUCAUGUGACAGCGCCAGAAAAUGCUGGUUGAAGUGCCACAUUUUACGCACUGCUUUCUGAGUUCUUCAGAACUUACAUUCAAGAAAGGAUUUUCUUCAGUAUCUGUAUAACCUACAAAUAAAGAAAAUUAAUUUAUUCACAUAA